rnacentral:lncRNA from 1 species
GCUUUACUAACUUACUACCUGUAUACAAAGUAAUUUAACCUUUUUUUUCCCUUUUUUUUAUUAUAGGAGAAUACUAACAAUUGGAAGAAUCAGAAGAGACUACAUGUAGGAAGUGAUGAUUGAUUGGAGCCUUGAAGGAAAAAUGGUUCCAUUAAAGUCCAGGAGGAAAAUUAUAGCACCACACAGCAAAGUCUAG